ensembl:lncRNA
GGGGAAUAGGGGCUGGACUGGGUCUUGGUCUGUCUACGUACACAGCAGACGACCACGGGGAGGCUGGAACCACACAGUCACGUCUCCUGCUGAGGGGUGUAGCCGGAAAAAAAGAGAAAGAAAGAGAGAGAAUAGAAAGACAGAGAGCCACGCACGGCUCAGCUGAGGCAAGCAAACGAUUGGAGUAGAAAUCGUGAGAGACAACCGCUGGAAGCGAACAGUGGAAGGGAGGAAGGAAAGAGAAAACAGACAGGACCCAAAUCUGCCAGCGACCACCACCUCCUCUCCAUCUCGAUGGUUAGCUGCGCACCCACAUAGACCAAUGACACCCCCCGCCCUCUUCUAAAAAGACAACUAGGGGGGAUGACCGCCUACCGAGAAGGCAGUUGACUAGCGUCGUAACUAAGCGAUGCACCUUCUUUCCAAGAGCGCAAGCUUGAAGCUAUAUUUUAUCCUAACAUAGGCUAUUUGACGAAUGUCAGUGUUGACAUUAUUUCCUAAUAGUGUUGUGGUUAUUGACAACGAGCCUCGGUUUGUUUUCGAGACUCUGUAAAGCAAAGUUUUUUUUUCUGCUGGACUUGUUUUUUUUCACUGCGUCCUGGAUUUCCAUACUUGCAGAAAAACAGAUGAUUAUUUUUGCGACAAGCUAGGCCUAUUUGUAAAGAAAUAUAGCAGUAGAACGAACGGACUCCUUUGGGGUGGGUUUUUAUGUCUUUAUUUUCCGUACAGUCUGUUAUAUAUACAUUAUAUUCUAUCGACAAAGGUUCGACAAGCGCCUACUAAACUUGUCUCUUGAAUAGACACCCUUCUGUAGCCUAUUUAACCGUUUGAAACGGAUGUGUGCACACCAAGAAGAUACUGAGAAGUGACAGUAGAGGAGACAUCCAACGAGGACAGCCGACAAGGAUACUUUCUAUACGUUGGCGUCCAGUGGAGACAAGGCUUUUAUAAAAGUUGCCAUGGUAUCAUUGGACGAGCCUCUGGACCUGAAGCUUCCACAGGCCAAUGGGAGGGUCAGGUUGGGAAAGAGGGCAUGUUCGGCCUCCAUCUGCGCCCCCCUCAGUGCCACACGACAACGUCUGCUACGUAACCUACCGAUGACCUACCCCUCACCACCUCCCUCUCCAGGUAAACACACACUCUCUCUCUCUCGCUCUCUCUCACACACACACUACCCCUCACCACCUCCCUCUCCAGGUAAACACACACACUCUCUCUCUCUCUCGCUCUCUCUCUCUCUCUUACUCUCUCUCACACACACACUACCCCACACCACACACACAUAAAUCCCUCUAUUCAUUUCUAGUUGUUUUAGAGGCCAGUGAGUCCAUGUGUGUGUCCCAAGUGGCACCGUAUUCCCUUUACAGUGCACUUGGCCCAUAUGGCUCUGGUUAAAAGUAG